ACUGAACGCUGGCGGCAGGCCUAACACAUGCAAGUCGAACGAGUGGCGGACGGGUGAGUAAUGUCUGGGAAACUGCCUGAUGGAGGGGGAUAACUACUGGAAACGGUAGCUAAUACCGCAUACCAUCAGAUGUGCCCAGAUGGGAUUAGCUAGUUGGUGGGGUAACGGCUCACCAAGGCGACGAUCCCUAGCUGGUCUGAGAGGAUGACGAGACACACUGGAACUGAGACACGGUCCGGCCUCCUAGGGGAGGAAGAAGGGGGGAAUAUGUCACAAUGGGCGCAAGCCUGAUGAAGCCCUCCCGCGUGUAUGAAGAGGGCCUUCGGGUUGUAAAGUCCUUUCAUCGGGGAGGCGUUACCCGCAGAAGAAGCACCGGCUAACCCCGUGCCAGCAGCCGCGGUAAUAC
rnacentral:rRNA from 1 species